rfam:Oryza punctata chromosome 7, whole genome shotgun sequence.
UUUAAGUGCAGAUGGGGCUUCUUAUGUCCAACGUUUCACUGUCCGUCUUAUUUAAAAUUAUUUUAUAAUUAAUAAUAAUAUUAUUAAAUGAUAAAGCAUGAAUAAUACUUUAUACGUGACUUAUUUUUUAAAAUUUUUUCAUAAAUUUUUCACAUAAGAUAGACGAACGAUCAAAUGUUGGACAUGGAAACCGACAACUGUACUUAAA